rnacentral:lncRNA from 1 species
GUCGUAGAGUGUUAGUGAGAUUUCAACUGGUGGGUGACCUUAGAUUAUGUGCACAGAUGAUUGAUGAGAAAGCACUAGAGCGUAAUAUUAACCAUUGAGUCGUACAGACUACAUUAGGUGGUUCCGACUUAUGUGCAGAAGGCCGGACAGGUCACAGAGGUGACUCCGGCAGAGUGAGAGUGAUAGAUUUUGAGCUCUAGGUUCAACCGUACAGGGCUAUUAGAGGGCCUCCGGUUGAUUACUUUCUUGCACCUGAUAUGAUUAUUGUUGAUGCAUCCAUACUUAACUGUUGAAUUAGACAUGGCAUGGCAUGAUUGAUAAAGAAAAAUGUUAAGAUAGUAAAAAUGAAGUUUUGAGAAUAUAUAUGUAUAUUAUAUUUUACAUUUCUGGGAAAGUAUACAAGUUUUACGGAGAGGGGUUACAACGUUUUGAGAAAUGUUUGGAUUUGGAAAAGAAUUGUUUUACUGACCCACUCAAUUUUGGUUUUGCGCCCCUCCAGGUUAAAGAAUAGCUGAGGUGUGGUGGCUACGAGGAAUUCAGCGGGGUUCUGACAGAAUGGAUCAAAUUAGGACUCACCUUCGGGUGUAUCAACUUAUAAAUUGUAUCUUAAAGCUUCCGUACAAUGCAAAUGGUUACGUCACUCUCACGUGACGGCCAGCAUGCCCUCCUUCGGGACAGGAUGUGUCAGUUGGUAUCAAAGCAUGGUUGCAAUCUUGGACAUCUUGAGAAGUUUCUAGUGAAUUAUGUCAGAACUACACCGCCUCAUAGCAAACCACGUAGUUAGAGGAACUUAGUCUCCCUGAUUUAGCGGUUUAGAGGAAACUAUUAUUAUGGUGAUUCAGUAUAUUAUCAAAAUGGAUAUUUUAAGACGGGUUAUGAGUCGAAUUUGAAUCACCUUAUGAAAUGAUGAACCUGAGGGAGCGAAGUAACGGUUUAACCAUUUGGAAAAGAUGUUUCAGAUUAUGCAAGUCAAAUGAAUCUUCCUUCUGACAGGGGGUCGAGACGACUACCUGGUUUUGGGUAUGAAUUUGUAUCCUGGUGGAAACAGGAUUGUUAAUUGUUGUCACCAGAGGAAUCAGCCGAUUUAAAAUUGUUUAAGGACUUGUUUAAGGAAAAGUUUAUCCCUCCGGCAUUUAUCGAUGGUAGUAAGCAAGAGUUUGCAAAUGUGAAUCAAGGAAGUUGACGAUAAAUGAAUAUUAUAGAAAGUUUUCAGACUUGCCUCGUUCCAUCCAGAUAUUGUUGUUAAUUUGAUGGAGGUGUUAUGUUGUUUUAAGCUAGGUGACAAAAAGAGAAGUGGUAUUUUGGGUGACCACUAUCCAUUAUACUUCUUACCAGGAAUAUACGAGAUGCUGUUGAGUCUUGAGGACUCUGAGAACAUGAGCAACGAGAAUAAAGAAGAAUAAGAAAUGAAUGGGAAUUAAAAGAAGACGAUAAAGUUAAUGAUUCGUCAUAUCAAGGAUAUAGAAAGAUUCAGAGCUUCGAAAGAAGUGAAGCUAGAGUUAAUUCUUCCAGCUGAGGUUUUAAUGUCGCUGGUCAGAGUAAAAGUGAUGGAUAUACUGGUAAUCCCAGAUAUUUGAGACAAGGUGUCUCGAGUAAAGGAAAUGUACCUUGUGCAGCAGGUACAAAAUUAACACUUUAGGAAGUGUGAAAUUAAUGAAUGUGUUUAUGUGAACAGAGGGGACACAGAAUUGUGAAUCGUCCCUAGAAUCAGUUGUACUCAACAAUUUUCCAUGAUAUCAUAGUGUCGAUUCAGCAGAGUUAUGGACUUAGUAGUUUGGUCGGAUUGACCGUGAGUACAGAGAGAUUUGAUGAGUUAUAUGUUCAGCCAUACAGACCAUGAGAAGUGGAUUCGACUGACACAUGAGAAAUUGGUAAGUUAUAGGCUCGGCCGUACCGACCACGCGGAGUGGAUCCGGCCGACGUAUUAUUGAGAUAAGAGUUGAAUCAGCCGUAUUGGUCAUUCUAGUUGACUUCGGCUGAUAUAUUUCUUAUUAUGUAUGUUAUUACCUAGAGAGUAGUAAAUAAAUGUAGUUGAGACGAGUGUAUGUAUUUUGCAUUGAGUGACAAAAUAGUAAUGUUAUAUCUUUGAGAGUGGUUGCCUACUUAUCGAGACAACGAUGAUUUAUCAGUAUUGCGGGCUGCAGACCGUAAUAUUAAUAACUUAUUCGUGGAUUCGUUAAGUAAGUAAACCGGUAGAUUAUUUUAUGUUAGUAUUGUACUUAUUCAGAAUGCUUAGUAGUAAUAGAGUAUGUAUUGUGUCGGUUAAAUUAUUUCCAUUAGAUUGGUUGGUUAUAAUUGUGACUAGAUGGAUUGUUACGGGAAACCAGUCACUUUCCAUCGAUCUGGAUGAUCAGAGGUUACCUUAAUGAGUGGGCAUGCAAAGUGAAGUGAGUUCAGCCAUUAUUUAUGCUGUGAAAGCAAAGAGAUUGUUUUGAAAGGCUGCCCAAAAAUACUUAGUUCCUGUGGUUCUAAAGGAUAUUGCUCGGAGAAGUGUGAAAAAUGAAAAAGGGGUUAGACUUUCUUGAUGUCUUCCUUGAAAGUAUACCUGGAUUGCCUUCAGGCAGAGAUAUGAGGUUAACUAUUGAUUUGUUGCCAGGUAUAAAUUUAUGUUAAAGAUUGGUUCAUGAUGAGUUAAGGGAAUUGGAAAUUCAGUUGAAAGAAUUGGUUGAUAAAAGUUUCAUUCAACCUAGUACAACACUUUUGAGGAGCACCAGUUUGUUGGUGAGAAAGAAAAUGGACUUAGAGAUUGUUCAUUGAUUAUAGACAAUGGAAUUGGUAACGAUCGAGAACCGUUAUCCAUGAUAGUGUACUGAUGUUUAGUUGAUAAGCUCAGAGAUGUUUGUGUAAUUUCAAAGAUUGAUUGAGGUCUGGUUAUUACCAAUUGAAGAUUUUGAGCGACAUUGAUUAUAAGAUGGUUUUCUGGAUUUGUUAUGAUCUUUUAUGAGCUUUGGUGAUGCUAUAAGAAAACUCACGUUGUUUUAGGAGUUUAUGGAUGAAGUAUUCCACGAAUGUCGUGAUAAAUUGUUAUCAUUUGUCAUUGACGAUAUUCUGGUACAUUCUGAGCUAGAGCAGAGCAUGUAAACGUAUUAAGUCGAUGAAGCAAAGAUUGAGAACGUUGGUUGUAUGCUAAGUUUAGCAAAGGCUAAAGUUAAAUGAAUCAAGUGGCAUUCUAAGAUUUGUUAUAUCUGCUUAAGGUAUUCAAGUGAAUCCUUAAAAGAUAGCAGAAAUUGAGAAUUUGGAACAACCACGAGUCGUAAUUGAGAUUUGGAAAUUCUUAACUUAUCAGGCUAUUUUGGAUGGUUGUGAAAGAAUUUUUAGUCAUUGCUUUGUCAUUGACGAGACUGUUGAUAAAGGAGGUUAUGUAUGAGUGGGAAGGAAAUUGUGAGCAAAGGAUUCAACAACUGAAGUAUUUCCUCACUCAUGCACAUAUUUAGUAAUCCCAGAGAAUAGUGGUAAUCAUAAAUUUUUAGUGAUGUUUCUUGAAUGGUAUUGGAUGCAUGUUGAUGCAAAUGUUAGGGUGAUUGCAUAUGUUUCAUGACAAAUGGAACCUCAUAAGAUGAAUUACCCUACUGGUGAUUUGGAAGUCACGAUUACCACCCUUGCUGUGAAGUUAUGGAGACAUUAUAUGUUGAUAAGAAUGCAAGAUUUUACAAAUCAAAAGAGUCUCCAAUAUUUGUUUACUCGGAAGGAUUUUGAUAUGAGGCAACAAAGGUGGAUUGAAUUACUUAGUGAUUAUGAUUGUACGAUCAGGGUGAUCGUGAAUUGUUGUAGCUGAAGCACUUGAUAAGAAGACUAAAGUAAGAUUAAUGUCUGGCACAUUUACCAAGAGUAUCAUCUUGUGGAUUGAAAACCAACGGAAGAAAAAUUAAGAAUGGAAGAUCGAGAAGAAGUUAUACUUGUUAAAUUUCAAGUUAGGCCUGUUUGGUAAGGUCGUACUCGAAACUUAAAUGUUUGACGAGGAAAUUUAAGAAUUAACUAAGUCAAGGAAAGAAAGGAAAAAGAAUGAGUACAUGAUUCGUGAAUCAAAUGGUAUGUGGAUACAAGCAAACGAAAAAGUAUGUGCCUAAUGCUGUGGGUUUAAAGCAAGCAAUUUUGGACGAAGUACACUGUUCAACUUCUGCAAUAUUCUGAAAGUAAUAAGAUUUAUCAUACCACUCGACAGUUUUAUUUGAUCAGCAGAUUGAGGCAGAAAGAGAUAAACCUUUGGAUUGAGACAGCUAUUUUCUGUUUCGAAACAGAAAUGGAAAGAUAUUACUUUGGACUAUGUGUACAAGUUUCCUUGUAUACAAGAUGGUUACGAUCGAAUGUGAAGUGAUGGUUGGGCAACGUAACAAGUUAGUAUAUUUACUCCAGUGUUGAGUAAUAACUUUUUCCCAAACAGGACAACGGUACUUAUUUGUUUUAUGGAAAGAGAAUUGGAUUACGGAACCACUGAGUUUCUUAAGUAUGUUGAGUGCGCAGUUUCUGAAAUAACGCCAUAGGGUCCCUGAAGCGUGUCGUGUGAAUGAAAUGCUUCUGAAUAGAGAAAGAUUCGAUCAAGAAAGAGUUUUAGUAGACCCUGAGACUAUGGAUGAGUCUCCUCAAAGUAUUCAGGUGAUUAAGUUAACCUGAAGUAACCAGGAAUGGCAAAAGAGAUCAACAGAUGGAUAUGCCACUAAUCGAGUAUAUAAGGUAAAUGGUUUUAUAUUUUCGAAGUGUUCACCAUAGAAAAGUAUAAUUCGGGUUGGAAAGGAAGGCAAGUUAAAUCCUAAAUGAAUCGGACUUAGCGUGAUCAUCGAAAGGUUGGUGAAGUUGAUUAUAGAAUUGAAUGGCUUCCAGAGUUGUCGUAAGUGCAUGAUGUGUUUCAUGAUUCGAUAUUUUGGAAAUUUCACCACGAACAGAAAUGGUGAGAUUUGGAAAGAAGACAAAAUAAGUUUAUAUACAUCAGACCGUUUUGAUCACUAAAGGAAUCGAUAAAGUUGCAUACAAGCUUGUGAUGCCUUUAGAAUUGGCUAAGAGACAUAAUGUAUUUUGUGUUCGAUGCGUUGUCACUAGGUGGCAGAGUCGUCUCAUGGAAUUCUGGUGCAACUAUUGAGAAUUAAGCUGGAUCUAAUUAGUGAGGAGCUAUGGACGACUUUGGAUUGGAAAAAGAAGGUCCUGAGAAUUAAGACAGAGUAAGUGGUAAAAGUAUUGUGGAGGAACCAUUCAGCGGAAGAAGCUACUUGGGAGACGGAAGAACGGAUGAGAGAUAUGUAUCCGACGCUAUUUUAUGAGUUUUGAUGGGUUGGUUGGUGGCUGGAAUUUCGGGGACGAAAUUCUAUAAGGAGGGAAGAUUGUCACAGCCCGUUCCAAAAUAUUACAUUCGUGGCUGUGAAUGGACGAAAUUGCCCUUAAGAAAUACUAAGUAUGUGAAGCUCAAGUUGAUAAUUAUCUAGGUUCCUAAGUUUUGAAAAUAAAAUGGAAUUUAAUAAGGAUGGAACUUAGAUUUUUAGGUUAAAAAUUUGUGGUUUGGAGUUGGGGAUUGAAAAAGGACCACGUGGGAUCCCCACACCCCUCAAUCCUCUCCCUAUUUUCUGCAUGCUGUCUCUCUCUCUCUUCCCUCACGACUCUCUCACUCUCUCUGUCACUCUUCUUCUCCGUUCGAACAAACCAACCACAAAACAACCUUAAAUUUCCACCAACGACGGAGUUAAGACCACCAUCAAACUUCUGAAGACUUCACGAUCACGAUGGUAUCCAUUUCAGGUAAGUUUUGCUUCGGAAAACCCUAGUUUCAAAGUUCCCGUGAAGAGCACUGUUCAUGAUCUUCGAAUUGACUUUGUUUUAGGUGAAACCAAGCUCACAGUGACCUUAAGGAGGUCACGAGGAGGCUCGGAGUGCCUCGUUUGAACAAAAUGGAUGUCGGGAUCACUUGGUUCGAGUUUGGCCGGAUUUUGGAAUUUUUGGAAAGGUAUGAUCCCGUUUUUUUUAGGCCUUAAAACUAGUCCAACGCGAUAGUAGAUGUUUAGGGCUUCAAUUUGGUAUAAAUUACGUGAAAAAUGGAUGAAAAACGAAGGAGAAUAGCAAGUUUGAAAUUUUUCCAGAAACCGGCGACUCGCCGGAAAAGACAGGGAAUAUUCCGUCAGUUUUGACGGAAUAUGCUAACGGCGUUGACUGACGCCGUUAAUUAUUUAACGGAAUAUGCUAGGAUUUAACGGAAUAUUCCCUAACUGCCGUUACUGUGCCGUCAGUGUGCACGGCAUGUGGCCGCGCGUGGGGGCGCGUAGGUCCGUGCCACGUCAGGCGCGUAGGGGCGCGUGAGACCUCCAAAAAUUAUUUUAAAAAUAUAGGGAUGAUCCUGAGGUUGUGUAGGUCACAGUGGUAUAUUCAUAUACCCAAUUUGAGCAAUAUAUGAGGAGUUAUUAGCUAAGAGUGGGAUUAUACGUUAAAUAACGUCAAUUUGGUUACUUCUCGUAUAGGCGAGGAUUAUACGGACGUUGGGCAUGGCUAAGGGAGGCUCAGGGACCUUCGACACGUCGAUGUAUUCUGUGAGUGGGCAGUUUUGUUUUCCGUAUACAUAUAUACUUGCCGUUUUCCCAGAAAUUGAAAAUGCAUGAAAUUAUGCUUUAAAUGAAAAUGUAUAAAAGUAUAUGAGAUAUAUUAGUUGAAAUGCCAUGCAUAGAAGUAUGCGAAAAGUAUAUAGAAUUAUAUGAAAAACGUGAAUCGAAUUGCCAUGCAUGAAAUGAUAUGAAUUGAUAUAUGAUGCAUAUGUAUGAAUUGGUGCGGCGGACGCACAGGUGAGUAUCAGGUGAGUAUUUAAAUACUGUUAUGAUGAUGUUGAUAUAUAUUGAGCUCAAAUCCUGCACCAUGGUUUAGUGCUUAUAGUAUUCACCGCAUCGCACGCUCGCCUUGGAUCCAAGUAGAUGCUGGUCGCACAGUCCACGCGGAGUGGGUGCGACGGGCCAGUCGUAGAGUGUUAGUGAGAUUUCGACUGGUGGGUGACCUUAGAUUAUGUGCACAGAUGAUUGAUGAGAAAGCACUAGAGCAUAAUAUUAACCAUUGAGUCGUACAGACUACAUUAGGUGGUUCCGACUUAUGUGCAGAAGGUCGGACAGGUCACAGAGGUGACUCCGGCAGAGUGAGAGUGAUAGAUUUUGAGCUCUAGGUU